CCGUUGCCGGCGACCGGCGCACGGGUGAGUAACACGUAUGCAACCUGCCCGUGGCAGGGGGAUAAGCGGGGGAAACCCCGUCUAAUACCGCGUAACGCGGCCUAGGGACAUCCCAAGGCCGCCAAAGGGAGCAAUCCCGGCCACGGAUGGGCAUGCGGCGCAUUAGCUAGUCGGCGGGGUAACGGCCCACCGAGGCGACGAUGCGUAGGGGUUCUGAGAGGAAGGCCCCCCACACUGGUACUGAGACACGGACCAGACUACUACGGGAGGCAGCAG
rnacentral:rRNA from 1 species